GGCAGUGGUAGCUUCGUGGUUAUAUCCUUGGAUUACUGAUCAGAAGGUUGAGAGUUCAAAUCCCAGCGCUGCCA